rnacentral:rRNA from 1 species
CCUACGGGAGGCAGCAGUGAGGAAUUUUCCGCAAUGGGCUAACGCCUGACGGAGCAAUGCCGCGUGGAGGAGGAAGGCCUGUGGGUCGUAAACUCCUUUUCUCAGAGAAGAAGAUCUGACGGUAUCUGAGGAAUAAGCAUCGGCUAACUCUGUGCCAGCAGCCGCGGUAAUACAGGGGAUGCAAGCGUUAUCCGGAAUUAUUGGGCGUAAAGCGUCCUGAGGUGGCUUACCCAGUCGACUGUGAAAGCUCAAGGCUCAACCUUGAAACGGCAGUCGAAACUUGUAAGCUUGAGUACGGUAGAGGCAGAGGGAAUUCCCGGAGGAGAGGUGAAAUUCGUAGAUAUCGGGAGGAAGGCCAAAGGCGAAAGCACUCUGCUGGGCCGAUUACUGACACUGACAGACGAAAGCUAGGGGAGCGAAAGGGAUUAGAUACCCCUGUAGUCCUAGCCGUAAACGAUGGAUACUAAGUGUUGCGCGACUCAACUCGUGCAGUGCUGCAGCUACGACGGUAACGUACGUCCGCCGUCGGGAGGUAGUGCGUCGCGAAGAGUAGAACGUACGAAGAAAGUUAGUACGGACGUGAGACGUAGACCGAACGGACGACGACGAGGGAGGAGG